rnacentral:piRNA from 1 species
UAUUCCAUGAUAGUGGUACCCUAACUGAACC